AUUGAACGCUGGCGGCAUGCCUUACACAUGCAAGUCGAACGGCAGCACGGGAGCAAUCCUGGUGGCGAGUGGCGAACGGGUGAGUAAUACAUCGGAACGUGCCCAGUAGUGGGGGAUAACCCGGCGAAAGCCGGACUAAUACCGCAUACGACCUACGGGUGAAAGCAGGGGAUCGCAAGACCUUGCGCUAUCGGAGCGGCCGAUGUCAGAUUAGCUAGUUGGCGGGGUAAAAGCCCACCAAGGCGACGAUCUGUAGCUGGUCUGAGAGGACGACCAGCCACACUGGGACUGAGACACGGCCCAGACUCCUACGGGAGGCAGCAGUGGGGAAUUUUGGACAAUGGGCGCAAGCCUGAUCCAGCCAUGCCGCGUG
rnacentral:rRNA from 1 species